AUCCCAGAAAUCCAAUCGAAUCCCCUGUCCCCAUUUUUUUCCCCACCAUCCUGAGUGACGAAAUCCCUAGCAAGCUCUUCUUCAAUUUGCCACCCCCUUCUUCGAUUCACUAACGGCGCUGUGGCGACGUCAAGAUCGACUGGAGCUGCAUGCAGUUCAUCGUGUCCUGCCGUGGCUACAGCGCCAACAACAACCCCAUCGGUGUGUGACCGUCGUGUCCUACUGAAAAGGCAAUGGAUUAGUUCUGAGGAGGCCAAUAAGAUGGUUGCCGUGGCAAAAGAAGCAGUUGCGAUUGAGAAUUCACAAGUUGUCAAUGAACAAGAAUCGGUUGUUACGAACCAGGAUGUCAUAGAAGAACAAUUGCUGCUUCCCAAUCUUCAUCUCAAUCACUGUCACAACUAGGAAGCACUGUGCUCAGUCAGAUGGCUAAUCAACCAAGUCAGAGUUCUUAGCUCUCUCAGCAGCAAUGCCCCUUGUCAGAUCCUAAGUUCAUCAUGUCUAACAGACCAGCAUCAAGACCUACUCCUCUUACAACCAGCACCAAGAUAGGGAAGGCCACAACGCUCUAAGAAAAAGAAGAGUACAACUGGAAACAAAAAAUCUGGACCUGCUGCAUUAAAGAAGUCUAGUGUUGUGGCUGGAACUGGGUGACAAUUUUAGUCUGGAGCGGCACAUGAUACAUGUAGUUAGUUCAUUUUCGGGAUAUUUUGUUGCCUCAAAAUCUGGCAUGAAUUUUGUUGACAGCAAUCUAGGAUGUGCAUAGUCAAUGGAUGCUAUAUUACCUACCUGCCAUGGUGGUUUAACUGAUAGUUGGACAAUAUCAGUGCUACCUGGGUUCAAAGUCAAUCGAUGCAUUUUGUAAUACUUUCCGUACUUAAACAAUCUGAAAUGGAUGUUAUGUCUCAUUGUUGAAUGUGUCUCAAUCUGUGUU